CCAUGCAGGGGACGCUUCUGUUACAGCAGCGGAUCAGGGUGAAGAUAGUAUUUGUGGCUCCGCUGUUCACCAGCCGCUCACAGCACUCAGGUGACAGCCUAGUGGCGGUCUCUGGGAAUGCACAGACACACCAGGAGUCAUGUAGUCCAGAGAAGACGACGUCUUGUUGCACAAUUUGUCCUCCUCUCUGGCCGUGUCAGUAACUUCACGCAGACGGUGUCUCAGCUUUACCACCAUGGGAUUGUCAUUCAGUCGGCGGGAGCGGUGCCCUCUCCACAGAGCCUGAAGGAAGAGCACAGGAAAGGAAAAGUUUCAUCAUGUGUAACACAAUUAUUGAUCGAUGAUUUGGGAAAUGAGGUCUGGCUGAGAUUUCCUAGAACUCUUUAAACAACUAGGUUGUGUAACUCCUGUUCAAACAACUUUUUUCCCUCUUAUUUUAAACAGAGUCCCAUGUCAGACAGCUCUUCUGUUAUAAACUUUUUCUGUUUAAUGUCUACAGGGUCCAAAUGUGGACCUUUCAGAAGCAGGAAUAAAGUUAGAAAGAUGGCCCAAUCCUGUCAUCAGUACCUGAGCUUUAACAAUCCCUUCCCGAAUCCUCUUCUGGCGCUUGACAAGGAGGAAUUUCCGGACAGCCUGCUGGAUGACAGCUGCAGCUUUAUGGCGAUGAGCCAACCAGGUCCUCACCAUCGACUGGGCUACGACCACCCUCCUCCUGUCUUCUAGAUAUCGCCUCCUCUGCUGCCUUGCUCUCCCCCCCCGCUUAAAAAAAAAAAAAAAAAAUAUUAUAAUAUAAUUUCAAAAAAGCACUUAUUAAUGAAAUGUAUCAAAGGUUUAAGGGUAGCAAUGACAGUGAGAGCGUUUGUCUUUACCUGUAUGGUUAGGACACAAUGGAUCUGCCUCUUCCCAGAUUCCAAAGCCCAGUGAGCUCUUAAAGCUCUUUGGAUCUUCAUGGCAGAGAGAUGAUGGAAAACUGCUGACGUAAACCUGAAUCUCCGAUUGGCCUUUUCUGCUUCCUGGAACUGCAACACAAUGGAGCACUGAAAUAAAUCUCAAAUAUUUUUGACUGUGUUGUGUUUUUAGUCAAUUUCAGACAACUGAAACUGUCAUGAAAAUAAAAAAAACAACAACUUCUAAAGCAA